rnacentral:rRNA from 1 species
AGUGAGGAAUCUUAGGCAAUGAGCGAAAGCUUGACCUAGCUAGGCCACAUGUGAGAAGAAAGCCUUGUUAGGUUGUAAAUCACUUUGUAAAAUACAUUAAAAUUUUUAGAAAAAAUUUUACAAUCAAAGCUCCGGCUAAUUUCGUGCCAGCAGCCGCGGUAAAACGGGAGGAGCAAGUAUUAUUCUAAUUGACUGGGCGUAAAGGGUGCGUAGGUGGUGUAUCAAGUAGCAAAAAAAUUUUAAAUUUUAUGUUUAUAACAAAUUACUAAACUAAUUCACUAGAGCAUAGGAAAAGAUUUUGGAACUUCGAAAGUAGUAAUAAAAUACGAUGAUAUUCAAAAGAACAUCAAAAGUGAAAACAAUAAUCUGGACUAUAGCUGACACUAAGGCACGAAAGCGUAGGUAUCAAAAGGGAUUAGAUACCCCUGUAGUCUACGCCCUCAACGAUGAGUGUUUGUUUUUGAAUAAGUUUUCAGAGGCGAAGCUAAGGCAUUAAACACUUCGCCUGGGGACUACGGUCGCAAGAUUAAAACUCAAAGGAAUUGACGGGAACCCGCACAAGCGGUGGAGCAUGUGGUUUAAAUCGAAAAAACGCGCAAAACCUUACCAAUUUUUGUAUAGCAUUUUUGUUACAGGUGUUGCAUGGCUGUCGUCAGUCCGUGCCGUGAGGCGUUUGGUUAAUUCCAGCAAACGGACGAAACUUUUAUAUAAUAUAUUCAUAUAUUAUAAACUGCUCGGAAUAUCCUUGAGGAAGGAAAAAAUGACGUCAAGUCCGCAUGACCCUUAUGAAUUGGGCUACUUUCAUGUGCUACAAAGUAAUAUUUACAAUAAGAAGCAAAAGCGUGAGCUGGAGCAAAAUCUUUAAAAAAUAUUUAAUUCGGAUUAUUCUCUGCAACUCGAGAAUAUGAAGUCGUAAUCGCUAGUAAUCGUGAAUCAGAAUUGUCGCGGUGAAUAAGUUCUCGGGUUUUGUACACACCGCCCGUCACACUAUGGGAAUUUACUCUACUUGAAGAUAAAAAUGUUUAAUUUUUUUCCAUGGUAGAGGAAGGACUAGAGUGAAGUCGUAACAAGGUAACCGUAGGGGAACCUGCGGUUG